UUAGAGUUUGAUCCUGGCUCAGGACGAACGCUGGCGGCAUGCUUAACACAUGCAAGUCGAACGAAUUUGGUUCUUCGGAACCAGGUUAGUGGCGAACGGGUGAGUAAUAUAUGAGCAACCUGCCUCUGUCAACGGGAUAGCAAGUGGAAACGCUUGCUAAUACCGUAUAUGACCACGGUAUCGCAUGAUACUGCGGUGAAAGCUCCGGCGGACAGAGAUGGGCUCAUAUCCCAUUAGGUAGUUGGUGAGAUAACAGCCCACCAAGCCUACGAUGGGUAGCCGAGCUGAGAGGCUGAUCGGCCACAUUGGGACUGAAACACGGCCCAGACUCCUACGGGAGGCAGCAGUAGGGAAUAUUGGGCAAUGGAAGCAAUUCUGACCCAGCCAUGCCGCGUGAAGGAAUACGGCCCUAUGGGUCUUAAACUUCUUUUAUCAUAGAGUAAUCGUGGGGACGUGUCCCUGCCUGCAAGUAUAUGAUGAAUAAGUAUCGGCUAACUCCGUGCCAGCAGCCGCGGUAAUACGGAGGAUACAAGCGUUAUCCGGAUUUAUUGGGUUUAAAGGGUGCGCAGGCGGACUAAUAAGUCAGAGGUGAAAUUUUGCAGCUUAACUGUAAACGUGCCUUUGAUACUGUUAGACUAGAGUUUAAGGGACGUAACCGGAAUGUGAUGUGUAGCGGUGAAAUGCAUAGAUAUGUCACAGAACGCCGAUCGUGAAGACAGGUUACGAACUUAAUACUGACGCUCAGGCACGAAAGCGUGGGGAUCAAACAGGAUUAGAUACCCUGGUAGUCCACGCUGUAAACGAUGAUCACUCGUUGUUGGUUAGUAAUAAUCAGUGGCCAAGCGAAAGCGAUAAGUGACCCACCUGGGGAGUACGAUCGCAAGGUUGAAACUCAAAGGAAUUGACGGGGGCCCGCACAAGCGGAGGAGCAUGUGGUUUAAUUCGAUGAUACGCGAGGAACCUUACCCGGGCUUGAAGGUGAGACGAAUAUAUGGGAAACCAUAUAGCCUACGGGCGUCUUGCUAGGUGCUGCAUGGUUGUCGUCAGCUCGUGCCGUGAGGUGUUAGGUUAAGUCCUGCAACGAGCGCAACCCCUACUAAUAGUUACCAGCACGUUAAGGUGGGAACUCUAUUAGAACUGCCUACGCAAGUAGAGAGGAAGGUGGGGAUGACGUCAAAUCAGCACGGCCCUUAUGUCCGGGGCUACACACGUGCUACAAUGGCAUAUACAGAGGGCAGCUACUCGGUGACGAGAUGCUAAUCUUAAAAGUAUGUCUCAGUUCGGAUUGGAGUCUGAAACUCGACUCUAUGAAGUUGGAUUCGCUAGUAAUCGCGCAUCAGCCAUGGCGCGGUGAAUACGUUCCCGGGCCUUGCACACACCGCCCGUCA
rnacentral:rRNA from 1 species